rnacentral:lncRNA from 13 species
UGCAAUGUAAACAUAUUUUAUGUUUAAAAAAAAAUGAAACAAAUAUUAUUCUCGCUUUAGUUUGUUUAUUUCACUUGCUUUCCCAUACCAAUAAAGCCCCAUUGAAUUGAGAGCAAGAGAGAGCGAGCGAGCAAGAGAGAGCGAGCGAGCAAGAGAGAGCAAGCGAGCAAGAGAGAGCGAGCGAGCAAGAGAGAGCGAGCGAGCGGAUUUGCGAAAGGGAGAAAAGGAGUGUAGACUUUUUUUUUUUAGUAAAUGAUUUUUCUCCGUCCACCUGUGAUGGCUUGGUGAAAUGUUUGAGUGUGGUGGUGGUGUCAGGUCUGACAGUCAGGUAUAUCAGCUUGGUGAACUGUUUGAGUGUGGUGGUGGUGUCAGGUCUGACAGUCAGGUAUAUCAGCUUGGUGAACUGUGAGUGUGGUGGUGUCAGGUCUGACAGUCAGGUAUACCAGCUUGGUGAACUGUUUGAGUGUGGUGGUGGUGUCAGGUAUGACAGUCAGGUAUAUCAGCUUGGUGAACUGUUUGAGUGUGGUGGUGUCAGGUCUGACAGUCAGGUAUAUCAGCUUGGUGAACUGUUUGAGUGUGGUGGUGGUAUCAGGUCUGACAGUCAGGUAUAUCAGCUUGGUGAACUGUUUGAGUGUGGUGGUGGUGUCAGGUCUGACAGUCAGGUAUGUCAACAGCGAAGACGUAAUCCCUUUCCCACUGCUGGGGAGACAACAGAC